rnacentral:rRNA from 1 species
AUUGAACGCUGGCGGCAUGCCUUACACAUGCAAGUCGAACGGUAGGGGGAGCAAUCCCCUGAGAGUGGCGAACGGGUGAGUAAUGCAUCGGAACGUGCCCAGUCGUGGGGGAUAACGUAGCGAAAGCUACGCUAAUACCGCAUACGACCUGAGGGUGAAAGCGGGGGACCUGCAAGGGCCUCGCGCGAUUGGAGCGGCCGAUGUCAGAUUAGGUAGUUGGUGGGGUAAAAGCCUACCAAGCCUGCGAUCUGUAGCUGGUCUGAGAGGACGACCAGCCACACUGGGACUGAGACACGGCCCAGACUCCUACGGGAGGCAGCAGUGGGGAAUUUUGGACAAUGGGCGCAAGCCUGAUCCAGCCAUGCCGCGUGCGGGAAGAAGGCCUUCGGUUGUAACCGCUUUGUCAGGAGAAAUCCUUGGCGUAAUACCCUGGAGGGAUGACGGUACCUGAAGAUAAGCACCGGCUAACUAACGUGCCAGCAGCCGCGGUAAU